rnacentral:rRNA from 1 species
GAUGAACGCUGGCGGCGUGCCUAAUACAUGCAAGUCGAGCGAACAGACGAGGAGCUUGCUCCUCUGACGUUAGCGGCGGACGGGUGAGUAACACGUGGAUAACCUACCUAUAAGACUGGGAUAACUUCGGGAAACCGGAGCUAAUACCGGAUAAUAUAUUGAACCGCAUGGUUCAAUAGUGAAAGACGGUUUUGCUGUCACUUAUAGAUGGAUCCGCGCCGCAUUAGCUAGUUGGUAAGGUAACGGCUUACCAAGGCAACGAUGCGUAGCCGACCUGAGAGGGUGAUCGGCCACACUGGAACUGAGACACGGUCCAGACUCCUACGGGAGGCAGCAGUAGGGAAUCUUCCACAAGGGGCGAAAGCCUGACGCAGCAACGCCGCGUGAGUGAUGAAGGUCUUCGGAUCUUAAAGCUCUUUUAUUGGGGAAGAACAAAUGUUUAGGUAACUAUGCACGUCUUGACGGUACCUAAUCAGAAAGCCCCGGCUAACUACGUG